UACGUAGGGGGCAAGCGUUGUCCGGAAUCAUUGGGCGUAAAGCGCGCGUAGGCGGCCCGGUAAGUCCGUUGUGAAAGUCAAAGGCUCAACCUUUGAACGCCGAUGGAUACUGCCGGGCUAGAGUCCGGAAGAGGCGAGUGGAAUUCCUGGUGUAGCGGUGGAAUGCGCAGAUAUCAGGAAGAACACCAAUGGCGAAAGCAGCUCUCUGGGACGGUACUGACGCUGAGACGCGAAAGCGUGGGGAGCGAACAGG
rnacentral:rRNA from 1 species